UUUGACCGCGCGCGUGUGGGCGCUGACCUUGCGGGACUUCUCCAGCAGCUUGCUCACCGUGUUGCUGGUGGAGGCCUGGUAUUUGGAGAGCUUGGUGAGGUCAUUCUGGAUGCCCUUCACGGAGCCCUCCAAACUGAUCUGUCGCUGCUCCAUCUUGUGCUGGUUCUCCUGCACAGCGUCUAGCAUGUUCACCAGCUUGUCCAGGAGCGUGAGCACCGUGACGGCGUUCACCUGCGUUGUGGCUCUGGAGACCUGGAAGCACCACUAACUGUUCUCCUGAUUUUCUGAUGCUCAGCCACAUCAACCUGUCAUGCUAGUUGUGAGGAGAAGUCAAGGACAGUGACACAGCCAGCCAGUCUGAGGGGUUUUCCAUCAUCCUGAAGGAGUUGCCCUAUCCUGCUUUUCACUGGAGGGGGCAUGGAUGGGGGCUCUUGACACACUGACCUCUGUCAGUUCCUUCAGCACACCAGGCUAAUCCCCAGUCUUGUGCCUUUGGACCA
rnacentral:antisense_RNA from 1 species